ensembl:lncRNA
UUCCCCUACCGUCCAUUUCUGCCGUGUCUCUUUGUGGUGGUUCAUUCUGUCACGGUCGUGGGAUGAAAAGGACACAGGCGCAGAGUAGAGGGUGCUGCAUAGAAACCAGAUGAGUAUGAAACAGCUGUACUGUGUACCAUUCGAAAGGAAUGAGGACAGAGUUAAGGAGCUACGGUACCAGUAUGUACAGGUAAAACAUAUCUAUGUAACUACUUCACAGCAACAUUCUAUAGUGAUACAUAGUAAGCAAACUGCACACAUUCCCAUUGCUGUGGAAGGAACAUGCAAUAUAUAUUUUAUGUCACACUUCCUUACCAAAUUCAACUGUGUGUUCUGGGAUAUAGCAUAUAAUGGAGUUGGAAUCAAGUGAACCGUCUCACAACUUUGUAAACGUGGAUGAGGCUGGCUUCAACCUGACCAAAUGCAGAAGGUGGGGUUGGAAUAUUAUCGGUCACAGAGCUACUGUGGAUUUGCCAGGCCAACGGGGAGGAAAUAUCACCAUGUGUGCUGCUAUUUCGGAGCAUGGACUUCUUUUCAGCAUGGAGGUGGGAAGGUGUACGGUUGUCAGGCACACACACAGAUGACCCCGCUGGCUGCAAUGGAUGCAGCAUGUGAGGACAUCACAGUAGACGCCUGCAGAGGAUGGAUAAGGCAUUCCAAAAGAUUCUUUCCACGUUGCAUUGCAAGGGAAAAUAUCCGGUGUGAUGUGGAUGAGAAUAUGUGGGCCGACAGACAGGAAAGUCU